CCCGGUUUUAAAACCGGGAAUUCGGGUCGGAUACGGAUCGCGAAAUUUGGAAAACCGGGUACCCGGUAUCCGGUUUGAUUUUUUUUUUUUUUUUAUUUUAAUAUAAAAAGACAAUUGAAAACCCUAAAUCAGUUCUUCCUCCUUGCCGUCUUCAUUCUGUCUUCUUCCUCCUUCUUUCGUGCUGCGCCCGCCUGCACAUUCAAUCUUCCUCAAUUUUUGCCGUCUUCUUCACUCUGCACUGAGACGCCAUCUUGCUUCUUCAAUCUUCAAUUCUUGACGUCGUCAUCUUGCUUCUUCUUCACCGUUCACGCCGUCAUCUUUAAUUGGAUUUAUUCACCCAUUUUCGGUAGUGAAUUGAAUUGAAGAUCUACAUGGAUUCUUACCCACCGCUUCCACCAUCUAGAUUUUCGUAUUGUACAACUAGCGAUGAACAUGGGGUCGUCUUUUGAUGAUAAUGGAAAUUCACUACCGAAUGAAGGGACUCAAUUUGAAGAGAGUGUUGAUCGCUUGUUCGAUGAGUAAU